UGUUGGCCUUUGAAGCACGGACGCCCAGCACUCUGCCGCCACCAUCAGCACUAACGUGAUCGUCACCUCGAGCGGGGAGGUGACGUGGCUGUCUCACGGCAUCUACAAGUCCUCCUGUGACAUGAACGUGGAGUUUUUCCUCUUUGAUGUCCAGUCCUGCAAGAUGUGGGCGUCCUGGACCUACGACGGCUACCAGCCCUUUUGGUGUUCCACGUGCCGAGCGAAUCCGGGGAGAAGGUGACUCAGGGCAUCUCGGCGCUGCUCUCCAUGACUGUCUUCCUCAUGACCAUCAGAGUCCCUGCCGCCCACUGAGAAGACACCGCUCGUCACCAUUCGCCCUGCGCCCGCUGACGUGAUGUGACGGGUCUCCGGUUGUGUUGCAGCGGUGAGGUGGUGUUGCAUCUUUUCUCAGCGGGCGUGUUGUGGUGGAGUGCGGUGUGGAGGGAGAGGUGGAUAGGAGAUAAUUGGUGGGCUGUGUGUGGUGAGUGCCACAUUGUCUGUGAGGGACCCUCAGAGCCACACAGCACCAGCUGCAACAGCUACAGCAGCAGCAGCAGCAGGAGGAAAUGGCAUCCACCUUCUACCUCACCCAGUGUCACUGGGGCCUCCUCCUCCUCCAGCAGCUGGCCAGGGUGCAGGGACAGGAUGAGCAAGCAGGUGGUGACAGAGAGGGUGGCCAGCUUGUCCCUCCCUCCUGCCACCCAGCCACAGCACUGGCAGCUGCUGCAGUGAGACUGCCCAGGCACAAGUUUGUGCACGUGUCCAGGACGUGAAGGUGAUGGGAACGUGUCCUGUAGGAGGAAGCAGAGCUGUAACAGUACCCGAGUCUGCUGCUGUGCUGGGAGAAGGAGAAAAACAUCAGCAGUAGUUAGUAGUGGUAGUAGAAGUAUUCAGCAGUGGUGGGGCUCUGCUGCUGCUGCUGCUGCUGCUGGCAGUGGUGCAGCUGUUCACUCCUCUACAGCUGCUGCCUUCCCUCAACAUACUGUGUCUUCCCUCACCUACAAUGAACAACUAUGAACAAUACCUCUCGUGCAAUCAGGCAGCGCUCAGCUGUACUCACCGAUAGACUGACCACUAAGAAUUACCUGUGGGCCACAUGACAAGGCCCACGCCAGCCAGGCUUGGUUGCCAAUCAAUAAUAAUAACAACAACAACAGCAGCAACAUCUCGUGCAAUGAAGAACACUGAAUAACAACAACACCUCUCCCCUGCAUCAUCAACAAUUAACAACAUCUGCUUUGUUUCACUGAUGCUGGCCUGUCUCUCUCUCUCUCUCUCUCUCUCUCUCUCUCCUCUCCUCUCCUCUCCUCACCUCACCUCACCUCACCUCAGGCCACAGCGCCACAGUAUGUCCCCCCACAGUAUGUUUACAAACCCACAGUGACUCCCCACAGCCCCUCACCAAUAAGUGACCCCCUCACACACACACACACACACACACACACACACACACACACACACACAGCAUAACAUACACAAACGUUGCAUCUUGUACAAUGGCCACAAUAAAGAAUGGACACACAAAAUGGACAAA